rnacentral:rRNA from 1 species
UACGGGGGGGGCAAGCGUUGUUCGGAAUUACUGGGCGUAAAGGGUUCGUAGGUGGCCUGCUAAGUCAGACGUGAAAUCCCUCAGCUUAACUGGGGAACUGCGUCGGAGACUGGUGGGCUUGAGUGCAGGAGAGGAACGCGGAAUUCCAGGUGUAGCGGUGAAAUGCGUAGAUAUCAGGAAGAACACCGAUGGCGAAGGCAGGUCUCUGGGCUGACACUGACGCUCAUGCACGAAAGCGUGGGGAGCAAACAGG